rnacentral:lncRNA from 1 species
CACCGCGCCCUGCUAGGCCAGCCAGCUUUUCUGAAAGACCUCAUGCUCUUACACAUUACAAGCGGUUGUGAGAAUCAAAUGAGAUAGGGUGCAUCUCAGAAUCUGAAAAAUACUAUGCACACGGAAAGUAUUAUUUGGUCUCUAAGGCCCAUCAACUUGGUCCUAACUCACUUUUAUCAGUUUGUAGAACUUAAUCUUUUUAAGUUCUCCGUAUUUUUUUAUGCUUUCAUUUUUUAAUGUGCUACCCUCUCUACCUGGGAUGUGCUUUUUCUACAGGGCAAGCUCUGCAUUUCCCCUCCUCUCCUUUUUCUCAUCGUGGUUUGUACUUGCCUCUCAGCACCCAUCACACUGGAUGUAACUACAGGCAUGUCUCUCCUGUUUGACUGUAAACUCCUUGCUGGACACAUAUCUCAGGAGUCCUUACAGCCAUUUCAGUGCUGUUGCAAAGUGGAUAUUUAAUAAAUAUUUGUUGAAGGAAGUCUGUUUGCUUGUUUUUGAGACAGAGUCUUGCUCUGUCACCUAGGCUGGAGUACAGUGGCAUGAUCUGGGCUCACUGCAAGCUCCCCUACC